AUUAGUUCUGACAUUAUAUUUUUGUGUUUUGUUGCAGACACCAACUGUUGGGGUUCUAUCUCAACAUUCUCCAGAUUCAGAUGUGAGCGAUAAACCGACUUCAUCCCUCCAACAGAAACCAACUGUUGAGGUUCCAUCUCAACAUUCUCCGGAUUCAGAUGUGAGCCAUUAACUGACUUCAUCCCUCCAACAGAAACCAACUGUUUGAGGUUCUAUCUCAACAUUCUCUAGAUUCAGAUGACAGCCAUAAACCGACUUCAUCCCUCCAACAGAUUGACAGCAGGACAAAUCGCUGGAAGUGGGUAUGUCUCAAGCUUCUUCCACUUGGUCCACUCCAAAGCGGGCUGCAAAGGGGAAGAAGUGGAAGCAGUUGAAUGACACAUGUUGCAUUUUGUAACUGGCAACAAAGUACCAGGUAAAAAAGAUUGUGAAGCCUGCCUCCAUAAAGAACUAGUAGCUCUACAGGACAGAGAUUGGCUUGCCAUCAAGUACUACAUCCAUAACAGAAUUAUAUUAAAAAAAGGGAAAAAAAAUGUUUUCCCACAUCUUCUGUGGUAGUUUGAGUAUGUUACCAGCAAUUAAAAAAGCAAAAUAAACAGCAA